AGUUGAAUUACCCCUGAAUUUGGAUGGUGUAACAGGGGAAUAUCACUUGUGAAUAAGGAGCCUGGCCAUCCUCAGUCUCCAGUCGUGCACGCUGUCUUCUGACCACGCUGACUUUGGAAGCUGUCACACUCUUCUUCUUCAGGGAGCUCUGAGCAGAACAGAGAUGAGUCCCAAAUGCUACCUGAGGACUCUGCGGCAAAGACUGCGUGUGGAGCACAAACUCAAGCAAAUCCCUGCCCUCCCUUGGAUGAUGUCAGAGCAGGGGUGACGAGUUUCUUGAAGGAAUUCAUGGAUAAGAAAAGAAGUCUGGGACCACUCUGAUCCAAAACUUCUUUCAUGCCCUUCAUUGUGUCUUUGUUGGUUGGUACCAACUUGCUGGCUUUAGCUUCAGCAGACACCACACUUACCUUUUCCACAAUGCUUGUGGAAACACUAGUCACAGCCGCUGCUGCCCCCAGCCCCAAGCCAGUGGCUGACAAUGCCAGACUGACUCCUGCUGUCACAGGUGCCAGAGACAGACCAAGGAUGGUCAGGACUCCAGACACAGCACUGCUGGAGCUGGCCACCACCCGUGAGAUGGUGCAGUCCCUGUGCAC
rnacentral:lncRNA from 1 species